rnacentral:rRNA from 1 species
UUGACUGGGGCGGUCUCCUCCCAAAGAGUAACGGAGGAGCACGAAGGUGGGCUAAUCACGGUUGGACAUCGUGAGGUUAGUGCAAUGGCAUAAGCCCGCUUAACUGCGAGAAUGACGGUUCGAGCAGGUGCGAAAGCAGGUCAUAGUGAUCCGGUGGUUCUGUAUGGAAGGGCCAUCGCUCAACGGAUAAAAGGUACUCCGGGGAUAACAGGCUGAUACCGCCCAAGAGUUCAUAUCGACGGCGGUGUUUGGCACCUCGAUGUCGGCUCAUCACAUCCUGGGGCUGAAGUCGGUCCCAAGGGUAUGGCUGUUCGCCAUUUAAAGUGGUACGCGAGCUGGGUUUAGAACGUCGUGAGACAGUUCGGUCCCUAUCUGCCGUGGGCGUUGGAAGAUUGAAGGGGGCUGCUCCUAGUACGAGAGGACCGGAGUGGACGAACCUCUGGUGUUCGGGUUGUGUCGCCAGACGCA